GGCACUCCAACUCUCUAUAAAUAACUCCAUCCUUCACAGCCAAACCCAAUUCAAAUCUGAAACCCAGGAAACACAAGAAGUAUGCACAAGGAAAUUCUGCCAAAAUUAAACCUGAAUCUCAUUCAAACGACACACAAGAAGAUAAAGAAAGAAACUCAAGCAAGCUUCAAUCUCACAUGCUAGCAAGCAAUAGACAAACUCUACCAAAUUCACCCAUAGCAAGCUCAAACUAAUUCACCCAUAGCAAGCUCAAAC
rnacentral:misc_RNA from 1 species